rnacentral:rRNA from 1 species
UUCCGGUUGAUCCUGCCGGAGGCUACCGCUAUUGGAGUUCGAUUAAGCCAUGCGAGUCGCGAGUCUUAGGGACUCGGCGUACCGCUCAGUAACACGUGGGUAACCUGCCCUAUGCUGGGGGAUAACCUCGGGAAACUGAGAAUAAUACCCCAUAGUUCACCACGCCUGGAACGGUGGGUGGAUCAAAGCUCCGGCGGCAUAGGAUGGGCCUGCGGCGUAUCAGGUUGUAGGGGGUGUAAUGUACCCUCUGGCCCUCUACGCGUACGGGUGUUGAGAGACAUCGCCCGGAGAUGGAUUCUGAGACUCGAAUCCAGACCCUACGGGGUGCAGCAGGCGCGAAAACUUGGCAAUGCGAGAAAUCGUGACCAGGGAACUCCAAGUGCAUCGGGUAAGACCGAUGCUUUUCUCGACUCUUCAAAGGUCUUGGAAUAAGGGGUGGGUAAGGACGGUGCCAGCCGCCGCGGUAAUACCGGCGCCCCAAGUGGUAGUCGCUUUUAUUGGGCCUAAAACGUCCGUAGCCGGUCUGGUACAUUCGUGGGUAAAUCAACCAGCUCAACUGGUUGAAUUCUGCGAGCACGGCCAGACUUGGGACCGGGAGAGGUGUGGGGUACUCUCAGGGUAGGGGUAAAAUCCUGUCAUCCUGAGAGGACCACCUGUUGCGAAGGCGCCACACUAGAACGGAUCCGACGGUCAGGGACGAAGCCUAGGGGCACGAACCGGAUUAGAUACCCGGGUAGUCCUAGGUGUAAACGCUGUGGACUUGAUGUUGGGGGCGCUCCGAGCGCACUCAGUGUCGAAGCGAAGGUGAUAAGUCCACUGCCUGGGGAGUACGGUCGCAAGGCUGAAACUUAAAGGAAUUGGCGGGGGAGCACCGCAACCUGAGGAUUGUGCGGUUUAAUUGGAAUCAACGCCGGA